rnacentral:rRNA from 1 species
AAAGGAAUAGACGGGGACCCGCACAAGCGGUGGAGCAUGUGGUUUAAUUCGACGCAACGCGAAGAACCUUACCAGGGCUUGACAUCCCUUGAUGUCUGUAGAGAUACGGAGUUCUAUCUUUCGGGAUAGACAAGGAGACAGGUGGUGCAUGGUUGUCGUCAGCUCGUGUCGUGAGAUGUUGGGUUAAGUCCCGCAACGAGCGCAACCCCUACAUUUAGUUGCCAGCACUUAAGGUGGGCACUCUAAAGGAACUGCCGGUGACAAACCGGAGGAAGGUGGGGAUGACGUCAAAUCAUCAUGCCCUUUAUGUUCUGGGCUACACACGUGCUACAAUGGCCGGUACAGAGGGCGGCGAAGGCGUGAGCUGGAGCGAAUCCCAAAAAGCCGGUCACAGUUCGGAUUGCAGGCUGCAACUCGCCUGCAUGAAGUCGGAAUCGCUAGUAAUCGCGAGUCAGCAUAUCGCGGUGAAUACGUUCCCGGGUCUUGUACACACCGCCCGU